ensembl:lncRNA
UAUGUCAACACUGCAGAGAAAGUAAAAACAGAACAAGUAAAAUAUUUAAAAGUAUUUUAAGUUCUGGAUAUUUUAUUAGGGCUCAAGCCUGGAGGGCGAGAGCCCUAUUGUUUUCCUUAGGAUUAUUUUUUAUUAUUAUUAUUAUUAUUAUUAUUAUUAGGGCCCGAGCCAAUGGGCGCAGGGCCCUAUUGUUUUUCUAAGGAUUAUUCUUAUUAUUAUUAUUAUUAUUAUAUAACCUUCCGGGGGUUUUUUUGGGAGGCCUUAACAUACUCAAAAAAACUCUUGAAAAAUUGGCACACACAUUGGAACCUGCGGCCAUCAGGACGCCGCAGAGGCUGGGACCCGGGCGUGGCACAGGGGCUCUACGGCGCCCCCUGGAACACAGUCAGAAAUAUUGAACCAUAGCGCACACAUACUUGCAUGUAUUUAUAUGAAACUCUGUACACUUAUAGAUCUCAUUGAGCCGAACAACUUUCGCGCUCUAUAUCAUAGGCUCCGCCCAACAGGAAGUGAGCUAUUCAGGGCUGGCACACACAUUGGAACCUGCGGCCAUCAGGACGCCGCAGAGGCUGGGACCCGGGCGUGGCACAGGGGGUCUACGGCGCCCCCUGGAACACAGUCAGAAAUCUUGAACCAUAGCUCACACAUACUUGCAUGUAUUUAUAUAAAACUCAGUACACUUAUAGAUCUCAUUGAGCCGAACAACUUUCGCGCUCUAUGUCAUAGGCUCCGCCCAACAGGAAGUGAGCUAUUCAGGGCUGUUUAAAAAAAGCAUGCUCUGGAAUUUGAAAUACUCCUCUGAGGUUUUCCACCCGUUCUCCACGAAAACUCGGUGAAACAUGAUCUCAAGACAUUGGGGAUGAAAAAAAUUGCCAGGGGAUUUUUUUGAUAUCUCGAACGGUUUGUCCGUGGCGAGGCGUUGAAAAUUAGGGCAAAAAAUGAGAAACAGGAAAUGUCUAAUAACAUCCACAUACAUUUUCUGAUUUACAUCAAACUUCAUCGGAUUGUUUGAUGUAUGAUGCCGAUCGCAUAGAUGUGACUAUUAGGAGUCAAAGUUAUAGCGCCACCAACUGGCAGCAGGAAAGUGUGUCAUUUUCAAAAAUGCUUUGAAUUCAGCAUCUUAUUUUUUUACUCGAUUUGCUUCAAACUUCAUCAGAAUAAUGACAAAACACGGCCGAUGUAAAUCUGUUGUGGGGAUAUUGAUAUCUAAUAUCGUGUUGCCCAUGGCAACGUGACAAACUUGAAUAUUCUGUUCUGGUGAUUUUGAGGCAGAUAACAUGCUCAGAAUUACAUGAAACUCAAAACACAUAUCAGUAUUAAUGAUAGCUAGACAAUGGCAAAAAGGUCAUAAAUGGGCGUGGAGGAGGCACUCUAUAGCGCCACCUUUUUGUCAAAAAGUGGGGGGUUAGUUUUAGCUACAGACACCAAACUCGGUACAUAAAUUGUUCUUAUCAAGACGGACAACUUUCUAAUUUACAGUCAUCAGCUACGACCAACAGGAAGUUGGCUAUUUUGGUUUAAAUGUGGAUUUUUGGAAAAAUAUUGCUGUGAAUUAAUGCAUACUGCUCAGAGGAGAAAUUACACUAUACACACCAAACUUUUUCUACAUGAUGCCAAAACAUUGAGGAACUUAAAUUGUGAAUGGAUUUUGGAUACCUUGAACGGUUUUGCCAUGGUGAUUUUUUGAAAUAACAGUAAAAAGGGAAACAUUAAUUGUCUUGUAUUUUUUUAAAUUGCAGCUUGCAAACACUUCAAACCCAUUUUUUUCAUACAUAGAACAAGUCAUUUCUGAGGAAAUAUGCAUAGUUUCACGAUUUUACAACACUGUAUGGAUAACAGAAAAUUAAAAAACUGUCAGACAUCUGAUCUCACUCUCUAAGGCCACUCUCUCUCUGUGUGAGAGAAGGGAGGGGUUUGGUGACUGAGUGUGUGUGCUGUUGGUGACUGACUAAGUGACUGACUCUGUUGUUGGUGACUGAGUGUGUGAAGGGAGGGGGGUGGGGGUGCUUGAGGGCCUGCCUGACAGAGAGAGAGAGAGAGAGAGUUAACAUCUCUUUAAUCACCAGAAGAAAAAAAAAAUCAGUAAUUGUGUUGUUGUUUUUUUUAUUUUUUUUCAUCAUUACAGCUUAAGAAAUCUCUUAGGCCUUAUCCUUUUCUGUCAGUUUUGGGGCCAAAAAAAAAAAAAAACCCUAGUACAAUUUGUAGGGCUCAGACAACAUUAUUUUACAUAAUUAGGUUAAGAAUUAUGUUAAUUGCAACAUAAAAAGAUUUUUUAAAAAUACAAACACAUGGAUAUAUAUUUAUAUUAUUCUGUAAAUAAUUUGAAACUUAUUUGGUACUGACCUAUGACAGACAUUCUGUGACAUGACAUUUACACAAUCUCAUGGAUGUAACAGUAAAACAGUUCAGCUCACAGAUGAAGACAAGCUGUAAUGCAGGCAAAAAUAUUUUACAAAUGCUUAUAGAUCAAUAAAAUCGUUAAAAAUGUUUUUUCGCCGAGUGCAUAAUAAUAAUAAUUAGUCACAUUGAUAUUCUGGUGAUAUUUUUUUCCAAGCACAUUUUACCAAUUCCAAAUCACAUCAAUCUUAAUAAAUACUAUACAUUUGUUAUUUAAUCAUUUAUGAGUGAUAUAUAAUUGUCCUUGAAGGCUGGAAGUGAAAAACUCCUUAUAUUCAGGAGUGCUGAAUUAUUAGGCAUGUUUUUUUGCCAUGCAUUGGUCAUAGAGCUCAUUGUAGCGGUGUCUCAGGUGUUGAAAUAGAUUUGUUAUACAUUAUACAGGUUCACACGUACUCUGUCUGCAGUGCGUAUACAGUAUGUGUAUGCGGUGCAGAAGCAGCAGCGAGAGCGCGUUAUUGUAACGCGAAAGAACAUUAAAAAUAAUGCGCGAGUGCGAAUCUAUCCGCUCACAAAACCAGACACGCGUGCUCAGAUACAUGCUCUAGCCCGGAGAGAAUGCGCGCACUUAAAACGUGCUUCCUCUCGCUCUGUGUCAUGUGAAUUCACAACACUCUCUGUGCUCAUGCGCUAGAUAUUCAUUCUUUUCGCACCUUUUUAUUUCUAACCUUUUCUGUUCACAUCUUUUACCGUGUGCAGUGUGAACGCUCUGAUCCAUUAACAUGGGCUCGGAAAAAAAUACGCAUCACAGACAGAGCUUGUAAACCUGGCCUUACGUAGGCAUAUGCCCUGUCUGUCCUGUUCUCGCGCUCCAUUUAGGCGCCCUUCAUUCUGACUGGUUCAGAUAGCAACACCAAACGUGCAGUGUGUAAUACCAAUCAUGGCCACCACCAGGUGGAGCUAUAGGAUUACUUUUAAAUAAUUGUUGUUGAAACGUGUAUAGAGCAUUUAAAUUCAUUUAUAAAAAAAUCUUUCAAAAAAAUAUGUAUUCUUUAAAAGCUAAUGAAUUUUACUGGUAAUAUAGUUUUAUAUAAUCAUUUCACAAAUGUUUAUAGAUCAUUAAAAGGAUUUUUAACACUGGUUAUAGAUCAUGAAAAGUGUUGUCAACAAUUUAUAAUAAGCUCUUUUUGGUUUACAUUAGUUAAUGCAAUAACUAACAUGAACUAACAAUGCACAAUCUAUUUUUCAGAUCUUUUAUUAAUCUUUUUUUAUGUUAGUUAAUCCUAUCAUUAAAAAUAUUAAUAUUCAUGUUAUUUCACAGUACAUAAACUAAUCUUAAAAUAAAACUGUAAAUAAAAAAAUUAGUAGUAAAUAAUGUAUUAAAAUAUUUUUAACUAAGCUUUAAUUAACAUUAAUAUAUAUAAUUUUAUGUUAAAUAAUAUAGUAUUUAACAUUAGUACAAGCUAAGUAUGAACAAAAUAUUUUUACUGCAUUUGUUUGUGUUAGUAAUUUUUAGUUAGUAAAUUAAUAUGUUAAAUCAUGGUAUAGUAACUGAUGUACAUUAACUAUAAAUUUUAAUUAAUAAUGUAGUAAUCCAUUUUGAACAUAAUAUUAACUAAGAUCCAUAAAUGCUAUAUAAAUGAUGUACUUGUUAACUUAUAUAAUGUUAAAAACUAAAUCCUUAUUGAAAAGUGUUACAAUAAUAAGAAUAAUAAUAAUAAUUUAUUUGUGUGUGGUUGUGUGUGUAAGUGAGUGUGUGAGAAAGACAGAUAGAGAGACUCACAUUAAUAAAUGCCAUACAGUUGUUGUUAAUGUAAUUUAAUAUAAUUCAUGUUAAUAACUGAAACCUUAUUGGAAGUGUUACUCAAGUUUUAUAUAUUGUGUUGUGUGUGUGCUUGAUGGUUUGGAUUAACCCUUUCAUUGCUGUAUCCCUUAAAUCCAAACUGCUAAAUUAAGUAUGCCCAAUCCUGUUCCUGGCGAUCGACUGUCCUGAAAAGUUCAGAUCCAACUCUAAUCAGUCACACCUACCUUUAAUUUUCAAGCAAUCCUGAAGACAUUAAUUAGUUGCUUCAGGUGUGUUUGAGUAGGGUUGGAGCUAAACUUUGCAGGACAGUCGAUCGCCAUUAACAGGGUUGGACACCCCUGAGCUAGAGGGUUAUUGUGUAUGUCUCCACUGGGCACACUUUGACUGAUGGCACCGGGGUGGCGUUUGCGCUGACGGCUCGGGCCCGCCAUCGCUGCUUGCAGCUAUAUUUAUUAUUAUUAUUAUUAUUUUUUUCCAACGUCUCGGGGGCUUUUGGGGCCCUUAACAUACUCGAAAACUCUUGAAAAUUGGCACACACAUUGGAACCUGCGGCCAUUAGGGCCGGGCAGAGACUGAUACACGGGCGUGGCACAGGGGCUCUACAGCGCCCCCUGGAAUAUGGAGGGCCAUAUAUCAUACAUACUUGCACGUAGACGUAUGAAACUCGGUACACAUAUAGAUCUCAUCAAGCCAAACAACUUUCGUACUGCAUGUCAUAGGCUCCGCCCAACAGGAAGUUGGCUAUUUAGGGUUUAGUAUUCUUAUUUUUCGUCAAAGUUGUGGGGGCUUUUGGGGCCCUUAACAUGCUCAAAAACUCUUGAAAAUUUGCACACACCUUAGAAUCUGUGGCCAUUAGGAGGCUGCAGAGGCUGAGACCCGGGCGUGGCACAGGGGCUCUACGGCGCCCCCUGGAACACAGUCAGAAAUGUUGAUGUAUAGUUCAAACAUACUUGCACGUAUUCAUAUGAAACUCAGUACACAUAUAGAUCUCAUUGUGCCGAACAACUUUCGUAUUGCAUGUCAUAGGCUCCGCCCAACAGGAAGUCAGCUAUUUAGAGCUAUGUAAAAAGUGCAUGCUCUGGAAUUUGAUAUACUUGUCAUGAGGUUUUUCACCCGAUU